rnacentral:rRNA from 1 species
UACGGAGGGGGCUAGCGUUGUUCGGAAUUACUGGGCGUAGAGCGCACGUAGGCGGCUUUGUAAGUUAGAGGUGAAAGCCCAGGGCUUAACCCUGGAAUUGCCUUUAAGACUGCAUCGCUAGAAUCGUGGAGAGGUGAGUGGAAUUCCGAGUGUAGAGGUGAAAUUCGUAGAUAUUCGGAAGAACACCAGUGGCGAAGGCGACUCACUGGACACGUAUUGACGCUGAGGUGCGAAAGCGUGGGAGCAAACAGG